rnacentral:rRNA from 1 species
AUGCAUGCUUUCCGGUCCCUUGUUAAAAAUUGUGGCUUAUUUGACAUUGGCUAUAGUGGCCCUGCUUAUACUUGGCGUGGUAGACAGAAUACUUCCAGGCCUAUUCAUGGACGCCUUGAUCAUUGUUUGGUUAACUCUGAUUGGUGCUCUCAUUUUCCCAAUACCAAAGUGUUGAAUCUUCACAUCAUUCUCAGUGAUCAUGCUCCUAUUUUAAUUUCUACUAAGAGUAAAUUGUGA